rnacentral:rRNA from 1 species
AUGGCGUCUGACGGAGCUUCGGGGUCGCGGUCAGUGGUGCCGCCUGAGACGGACGACGUGACAACACUGAUGAGGGAGUUAGGUCUUCGAGAGGAGGAUCUUGACGAUGUAGUGUACGAUGGGAAGGAGGCGCCACCGGAUGCCUCGCGUUGGAUGGCACUGAUACAUGAUGUGCCGCCACUCUAUGCUCAUAUGGUUCCAUCUCUAGCUCAAAAGGUGGGAGAAGUUCUAUAUGCAGAACCCCAAUCGCUUGACUUUGUGGGGAACUUCCAUCGGGUCUGGGUUCGGAUCGAUGUCAACAAACCCUUGAAGAAUGCAGUCUCUAUGAUAAGGGACGGAAAGCGCCAGAUAUAUCGUGUGAGAUACGAGAAGCUUCCCGAUUGGUGUGUGGUCUGUGGUAAGCUGGGUCACCUCUUCAAAGAACAUGGCAGUGGGAUUCACCCUCCAACUGCCUUAGUUUUCAAAGAUCUCAAAGCUUCAUGGGCAAUGCGUACUGGACAAGGUCCGGGAGGGGGCCGUGGUCGGAGGGGAGGCCGAAGAGGAGGCCGAUGA